AUCGAACGUCGGCGGCAGGCCUAACACCUGCAAGUCGAGCGGCUGAAGAGAGCUUGCUCUCUGAUUCAGCGGCGGACGGGUGAGUAAUGCCUAGGAAUCUGCCUGGUAGUGGGGGACAACGUUUCGAAAGGAACGCUAAUACCGCAUACGUCCUACGGGAGAAAGUGGGGGAUCUUCGGACCUCACGCUAUCAGAUGAGCCUAGGUACGAUUAGCUAGUUGGUGAGGUAAAGGCUCACCAAGGCGACGAUCGUUAACUGGUCUGAGAGGAUGAUCAGUCACACUGGAACUGAGACACGGUCCAGACUCCUACGGGAGGCAGCAGUGGGGAAUAUUGGACAAUGGGCGAAAGCCUGAUCCAGCCAUGCCGCGUGUGUGAAGAAGGUCUUCGGAUUGUAAAGCACUUUAAGUUGGGAGGAAGGGCAGUAAGUUAAUACCUUGCUGUUUUGACGUUACCGACAGAAUAAGCACCGGCUAACUUCGUGCCAGCAGCCGCGGUAAUACGAAGGGUGCAAGCGUUAAUCGGAAUUACUGGGCGUAAAGCGCGCGUAGGUGGUUUUGUAAGUUGGAGGUGAAAUCCCCGGGCUCAACCUGGGAACUGCCUCCAAAACUGCAUGACUAGAGUACGGUAGAGGGUGGUGGAAUUUCCUGU
rnacentral:rRNA from 1 species